rnacentral:lncRNA from 1 species
CUGAUCGGGCCUGGUCUGCCCACGGUUUAACAUACAUCACCGGUUCCAACGUCACUGCCGUAUAGCUAUUGUGCAACUAUUCUAAAACAGGCAGUCACCUACGAUAGCGAGCCAGAUGACUACUUAGCCCUCCAUCCUUAGCAGGUAAUUAAAGCUGCAAUCAAUCACUGCUAAAAUCUGGAAGUGAUGGAGUAGCACCCCACUUAAUUACCCUCCCGCCCCUGGCUACCCC